AGGUAGUGGGUGUGUGGGGUGAAGUCAGCGCUCUUCUGUGGAAAAAACCAGAGGCAAUUAAUUCACUCAGGUGCGAGUGGGUAUACUGUCGUGUGACCACGAAUUUUAAUAGAAGAAUUGAUCAAGCCCUAGAUCGACUGCGCGCAGGGAAACUGAUCAAUAUUAUCACAGGCCAUACAUAGCACUGAUUCCCAGCUGCGCUGAGACCCGAAUUGUUUGCAGUGUGUGCCACGAUUGCAGUGCCACUAAGCGGGGUGUGACGGGUUGUAGUGUUAUUUCGCACAGUUUGUGUGGUAAGUCUCAUGCGCAGCUGGGAUAUCGGCAGGAUGUGUUGUAAGUCCUGUCUGGAAACGACUGGGAAUUUGUAUGUUUAACUUAUGUAAUAAAUAAAUGAUCAAUUAUUUCUUUGCCCCGUUUACUUAUCCCUUGUCCUCGGU